rnacentral:lncRNA from 1 species
GAGUGAAGGUGAAGGAAAGUAUGGAAGUGCCGUGCGGGAGGAGAGGGAAAAAGAUGAGAGCAAAUUCGACUUUUUACUUAGCUUAUGGAGGUGUCGAAAGAAAACAUGGGAUGUAGGAAGAAAUUUCCUUUCCAGUGCCAUAAAGAUUUGAAAUGCCACCCAAGUAAAGAAUGAGCCCAAAAGAAAAUGCCACUUGAAUAAAUGCUCCGCUGUUAGCCUUAUGGGACUUCUAAAGUUCCUAGUAAGAUUUUAGAAU